UUUAUCAUCUGGAAUUCAUUCACUCUUUCACAUUACUUACUAAAAUAUUAAACCAUAAUUUACUGUUAACAAAAAAAAUGAUUUUCUAAUUUCAUAAGUAACCUAUAUAAAAACGUUCCAAACCAACCUCUAUUAUUCUAAUAAAUCAUUCAUUGAUAUUCAACAUGAUUUAUUGUUUUUCUGAGUAUAACUCAAUACAAUCUCAAAAUUAUGUCGAUGGUACCAACAUAUUCUUUUCAAUUCUUUUCUCGUUGCAUUGUGCCGUUAUUAUAACCUCGAUUGCUGAGCAUUAGUACCUAAAUUAUUCAUAUACGACAAAAUGAAAAAUAUUCUGCAGCUUAAAUAACUAAAUUUGUUGUGGUCACAUUCCAGUGAAUUUGUGUACUCUACUGUAUUCGGACAAUUUGGAGUUUUGUUUUACAUGUUUUUUACAGCAAUGAAUUUAUGAUUUUCCCUAUAAAGAAAUAAAUAUUACUUUAGGUAUACUUAACUUCUUUUUUUUUCUUACUAAGUUCAACUUUUCAUGAUCCUUGUGUUAAAUUUUCUAAUUUAAAUGCCCCUAAAAAUAGAUCAAAAAUAUUUUUAAAAUUUUAUAAUUUCUAGAAAAGGCCAAUAUUAGUAUUAUGAGAAAAUUUCAUGUUUACAAAUAUUUUAAUUAGGAAUAUAGGAAAACAACAAAAACACAAAAUUGAAAAUAUUGAAAUUAUUUUUGUAAACUCGCAUAAGUUUCUCACUAAAUUUUUUCCUGGUUAUGCUUAGUUGUUGAAAAAUUAUUUUCUACCUUACCAACUGGAUUAUAAAUACAACCAAAUAUGAUUUAUUGAUUUGUUGCAAAAUUUCUGAUAUAAACAAAGAAUAUUCUUGAGUGCUGAUUUUUUUUUUUAAAUUUGUAUUGGAAAAAAUUGUAGGUAUUUAAAAAAAUAAAAACUUAUAUAACCAUAAAUGACAUCAAAUAUAUUCAUUUUAAAUUGUUUUACAAACAAAUCUAUUUCUCAUAAACUAUACCGUAACUUCUAGAGUUUACAUGCAUAUUGUUUACUCGUAGUUCACAUUUGCUUUUUCACUUUUUUGUAUCCCUGAAUUGUAUUAUUUAAUAUAGUAUAUUUAUUUAUGAACAUUUUAGAAAAUAAACCUAUUCCUAGACAUUAGUAAUGACUAUAGAACGGAUUUAGAUUUUACAUAUUGUUAUAGAGUUUAUGCAGUCAUAUUUUGAAUUCGCAAGAAAAAGUUAUUUUGCAUAUUUGAGAUUAUUAAUGGGUUAAGGAAUAUUAAUUUAGCUUAUUUUGCAUAUUUUGGUAUAUUUUGUAAAUUGUGAGUAAAAAAAAUUUAU